GGUAUGCAGUAAAAGAAAAUGGACGCUGUAGUAAGAGGACAUAUUAUAACUGGGUCAAGACCUAUAUUUUUCGUUGGUUUUUAAAUUACAGAACCCGAUACUAUAACAGCCUACACGUGCAAAAGAAUCAGUAGAAAAUAUGUGUUUGUAGCUUUUAUGACAUUCCCACAUUUAUCUUUCCUCUUCACAUUUCAUGAAGCAUUUUCUUGAUAGAGGUUUUGAUGUUGCGAUUCAUUUCGAGCAAUUUUUGGUUUAGGCUCAAGAUGUCGCUGUUGUCUACAGUUACGGACAAGGAUCGCGGAUGAUUUGUCCCUUUCACAGUGCAGUCAGCAAAGCAAGUCACUAAAGACAACGGUCACCACACGAGUAAACAGGCAAAGUGAACCACAGCGAGGCAGAGACAAGAAACGAUCUUAUUGCCAAGCCUUUAUGAAGCGGUUACUCUGAAGAACAGAAGCAAACUAAGAUGUCGGACUCAGGGCUGGUACUUAAGAGACCUAUUUACUGCAUGCUGGUUCUGUGUGUCUGUCUCUGAAGAGGCUCGUUACUGAGUGUCUGAAGCGCUAGCCUGGUGCUUUUAUGGGGAAUAUGGCCGAGGAUCUAGAACUGGAUAAUAUCAGAAACCUGCCAGCUCGCAGGCUGCGGACUGUGUCAGGAAAAGAGACUUUGUGGAGCUGAAAAUGCAGAAUGGAGCCCUGAUCGUCACUGUGAAAAUGGACAGAGCAGAGCUGCGUGGGCGGACAGUACGUUGUGCACUGAAAUUUAAGAUUGUGGUUGAAAAUCUUGCAAUGUAGUAUGUGGAACUAGAAAUCCUGGAUGAUUUCCCCACGUGGCUGAAUCUGUUUUAGUGGGCAGUGUACUUCCUAUAGUAGGGCUCAAGAUCCUCUUGGUGCCGAUUCUUUGCUCACCUAUGAGAUUUGGGCAAAUGCACACUUUGCUUUGAAAGUAGAGAAUCGUGGCGGACAUAAUAAAGUGCCAAUUUUAAUACUGGAAGAGUCAUUGGACAGAGAAAAAGGAUCGACUCAGAAUCGAAUAACAGCAGCUAAACACAAUGGGGCUCCCCAAAGAUCUGGCACCCUCCAGAUGAGUAUCACUGUGCUGGAGUCUAACAAUAACGCCCCUGCAUUUGAUGGAAACAUCUACACUAUCUGCCUAGUGGAGAAUGUGGACAAAGGCAUCCUGGUUAUUGACUGAAUGGCACCGAUUUAAACGAAGGAGGAAAUGGAAGGAUAGAGGAAAUUGUUGGCAGCAACACGACAAUCAAUGUUCAGAAAAUGUUUUCUAUCGAUCCUGAUAACGGGGAGUUAGGGGUGGAAGGUGAAGUGAAUUGUGGAGAAUAUAAUGUGGGAGUGCAGGCGCGGGAGGGAAGUCAGUUAGCGUUGCACAGUUCUUGUAAAUGUUGUGAAUGGCAAUUACAAUGUCCCAGCAGUGACGGUAAAUUCCCUUUCUAAUCCUAUCGGGGAAGACACUGCAGCUGGGACGAUGGUCGGUCUGCUCAGCGUCAUAGACCAGGGCUCCGAAGACAACGGGAAGAUCAGCGGCCACAUUCUGCAGAACGUACCGUUUCAGCUGCUGUCCCCUGCGGAAAACACAUUCUCCUUGGUGACCAGCGGCGUCUUGGGCAGGGGGGCGGCCACCUACAACAUCUCUAUAGUUGCCUGUGAUUGCGGCUCCCCUCCCCUAUGCCCUAUAUAGCAGGGGAACCCUCCCAGUGCGCAUUUCUGAUGUAAGUUACAUCACAAGGGGUGGCAGUCACCCCUUCCCCAGGCCAGAAGCCUGAGCCUCAGACUCUUUGGUGUCCCGCCUUGAUCCAGGGCCUGGGCUAAUUGACUGUUUGUUUCCCUGCCAGCCUGAGCACAGGCCUGGGCCCCCAGCUGCAAGUGGAGACUGCUUCGUUCCCCACGGUGGCUGAAGUAUCAUUCACGUAGUGAGGCAGAGUGGCCUCCUGAGGACCCAGAGUGGGAGUGUCCCCGAUUGAGCCACUACAAUACAUAUAGUAAUUGUAAAGUUCUUCUUUUAGGCUUGUAGCUGUGAUGGAAUAAACUGCUGUCUUAAGGCAA